rnacentral:rRNA from 1 species
CCGGAGCUUGCUCCACCGAAAGAAAAAGAGUGGCGAACGGGUGAGUAACACGUGGGUAACCUGCCCAUCAGAAGGGGAUAACACUUGGAAACAGGUGCUAAUACCGUAUAACACUAUUUUCCGCAUGGAAGAAAGUUGAAAGGCGCUUUUGCGUCACUGAUGGAUGGACCCGCGGUGCAUUAGCUAGUUGGUGAGGUAACGGCUCACCAAGGCAACGAUGCAUAGCCGACCUGAGAGGGUGAUCGGCCACACUGGGACUGAGACACGGCCCAGACUCCUACGGGAGGCAGCAGUAGGGAAUCUUCGGCAAUGGACGAAAGUCUGACCGAGCAACGCCGCGUGAGUGAAGAAGGUUUUCGGAUCGUAAAACUCUGUUGUUAGAGAAGAACAAGGAUGAGAGUAAAAUGUUCAUCCCUUGACGGUAUCUAACCAGAAAGCCACGGCUAACUACGUGCCAGCAGCCGCGGUAAUACGUAGGUGGCAAGCGUUGUCCGGAUUUAUUGGGCGUAAAGCGAGCGCAGGCGGUUUCUUAAGUCUGAUGUGAAAGCCCCCGGCUCAACCGGGGAGGGUCAUUGGAAACUGGGAGACUUGAGUGCAGAAGAGGAGAGUGGAAUUCCAUGUGUAGCGGUGAAAUGCGUAGAUAUAUGGAGGAACACCAGUGGCGAAGGCGGCUCUCUGGUCUGUAACUGACGCUGAGGCUCGAAAGCGUGGGGAGCGAACAGGAUUAGAUACCCUGGUAGUCCACGCCGUAAACGAUGAGUGCUAAGUGUUGGAGGGUUUCCGCCCUUCAGUGCUGCAGCAAACGCAUUAAGCACUCCGCCUGGGGAGUACGACCGCAAGGUUGAAACUCA